AGCGGUCAUGUUAAUGAUAAGCGAAUGUCUGAAAACGGAUCCGUCGCCGUGCCCAAAUGAGUGCGGCAAGGUGUACACGGGAAAAUGGCGGCGAUCAACGCUCAAGCGCCAUUUCUUAUACGAAUGCGGCAUGCCGCCACAAUUCGGGUGUUACGUUUGCCACCGCAAGUUUGUGCAAAAACAUGACCUGAAAAUACAUCUUAUGAGAGUGCACAACAUAUUCUGAACAUACAUAAGUGGUACUAUGUUGUACUUGCAACUUAGUAUGAGGUAGACCACAUUCAUAGGCGUAAAUUGUAUGAUGUUCAGUUUAUAUAUUUAUGUAAUACACAGUAUAUCUUUGUAAUCGCAUUAAAAUCGUACAAUGCAACAUUUACUUUAUUUGUUGUACAUUGUUAAUAUGUUCAAUAGUAUACUAUUCUGAUAGCCUGUCUAAUGACAAUCAAUAAAAAACAUUUGUAAGCUAAGUUAUGCCAUAUGGAGCAAUAUAGACGUUUCCUUCCAGAAACAAUAUUCUCUAUUGUCCAAAAGAUUACUCGGUUCUGUUCAGAUUAAAGGAAUGCUUGAAAACGGAUCCGUCUCAGUGUCCAAACAACUGUGGUAAAGUUUAUACGGACAAGGUGUACUAUGGGGGCAAAGAGUAUUGCUGUCCGAACAUGUGUGGCAAACGGUACAAUAGAAAGCACAACCUCAACAGGCAUCUCAACUAUGAGUGCGGAGUGGAACCUCGCUUCACGUGUGAUAUCUGUUUGAAAAAGUUUACUUACAAGGCGAGUAUGAAGCUACAUCGGAUGACAGUGCACCGAGUGUCGCCCGACAGUGCGCAGCCAGCCACCGUCGUUAAAAACUUGAUUUAAGUUCAUAAUGUUAAUAAUAGGUCGUUUUAAUUUUUUGUUUAAGCAUUCCGAAUCAGUACUUAAUAGCUAUAUAUUUUACACUAUACGUAUAGGGAACUAGUAACUAGAUGGAAGUAGCUUGAUAUUACCUAUUGCCAAGCGUGUAAAUUUGUUGUAUACCGCGCAGGAUUUGUAUUAAUUUUGUAACCUUUAGUAUUGUGUGAUUUAGUAGAUACAUAUAAAUUAUAAUAAAUACAAUUUUACAAUAACCUAUAAUAAAAAAACGUUGACUUUUAUUUUACAUUAUAUAUAUAUGUCGUGUUUAAUAAUUUUAAAGUUAACGGUGACCCGAGUUAAAACAAAUGAUAUUCUUAUAGCCACCACAACCGCUAAUCGCUUGUUGAGAACGCCUCGCUUUAUGUUUUGUACAAAAUAAAAAGGAUAAAUUGUUCGACAGCUCACGUACUACUCGCGGGUUCAUGAGUACCCAAACAUAGUUUUGGAUUUUUGUUUUUUUAUUACAUUUAUUUAAAAUAAAAUACAAUUUGGUAUGUAAAUGACAAAAUAUAAGGAGAUUAAAAAAAAAAAAUGAUUUAAUUAUUAUAAAUGUAAUUUCAAACGUAAAAAAGUGACUAAAUUUUUUUAGCGUUUUAUGUGACGUCAACCCCACGUAUGAAAACCGAAACAAGUCAUAAGUGGCAUUGUCCAAGGAUGUGCGGUCGGUCUUACAAAAGGAAGCAAUAUGUGACGAGGCAUUUGAAGUACGAGUGCGGUAUGCGGCCCCAGUUCGACUGUAGUUUUUGUAAUAAAAAGUUCACAUACAAAGAGUCGCUGAAAUGUCAUCAAAUCAAAAUACAUCAGUAUAUACCUCAAUGAGACCCCGAUGAUACCCCUUGAGGUUUUUUUUUCAUUAUAAUUGCUUAACGUAAGAUGAAUUUAACUAAAAUGUUUGGCACCUUACCCCCUUGAAUUUAUCUUAAACAAUACGAAUUACCAUUAUCUAUGAGUUGAAUUAAGUUCGUUAGUAAAUUCUAUGUGAUUGAUAAUUUUGUUUUCGUUUCAAUAGUUCAACUAGUUGUAUUUUCUAUAUAUUUUGUUGUAAUUAAAAAUAUAUUAAUAAUAAACACUUACAGACGAUAAAAUGUAUUGAUAAUAGGCUUUCUGUUUGUAUGUACACGUUUCAUCUUAAUUAGGUCUCCUGUGGUAAGGAGGCAUGAGAUGCUAUGGGAACAUGUGUGUGUUGUUCUAGUUUAUAAUUAUUAUUUUUUAUUACUAUUUAUUCUAACUUAUGUUUACUUUUCGU